UACAGGGGGUGCAAGCGUUAUUCGGAAUUACUGGGCGUAAAGCGCAUGUAGGCGGCUAGGUAAGUCUGGUGUGAAAUCUCGAAGCUUAACUUCGGAAGUGCAUUGGAUACUGACUGGCUAGAGGAUGGGAGAGGAGAGCGGAAUUCCUGGUGUAGGGGUGAAAUCCGUAGAUAUAAGGAGGAACACUGGUGGCGAAGGCGGCGCUCUGGACCAUUUCUGACGCUGAGAUGCGAAAGCGUGGGUAGCAAACAGG
rnacentral:rRNA from 1 species